UUGCAGCUUCUAGCUUUUUUGGAUCGCAUGUAUUAUAUUCGACUGAGUUAUCGAUUCCUAAGAAAGCCAUUUUAGUUUUACAGCCACUUAGUAUAGCUGUUGCAGUUCCAGCGCUAUCUGGAACCUGAUAGUCUGUAUUGAUCAAUCGAUGUUUGUCCUAUACCUUGGAUAAUCCAGUAUGUGGGAAAUACUCCCACGAGAGUGUUUCUUCUUCUCCUAGUUUGCCUGCCUUUUGUCCUUUAUAGAUCCUUCCAGGAGUAAUACUAUUAAGGCCCAUUCCAUCGCCGAUGAUAAGAAUUACAUUUUUAACUUUACCAUUGUUUUGACUUUGUGCUAAUUUGAAUUUUAUGUCCUCAAUGCCCUGGGAUCUCCAGUAAUUUUGAUCUAUUGAAAUAUAAGUGAAUCAAGUUUUGAAUUGUUUAGCAGUGAUAUUUUAUUAAAUUUUUUUGUAAAAGUGCCUUGUUUUCCUUUGUACCUUCUCCAUUUUUAAAAACGUUCAGCCACGCUUGUGACCGACAGCUAAGUUUUUAAAAAAUGUUGUUUUAAAUUUGGUAUUUGAUACAAUGUAUGUUAUGCAAUUUAUUAGAGCUCUUGAUUAAUUAAAAAAGGCAAA
rnacentral:lncRNA from 1 species